AGAGUUUGAUCCUGGCUCAGAGCGAACGUUUGCGGCGGGCUUAACACAUGCAAGUCGAACGAGAAUCAAUCCUUCGGGGUUGAGGAAAGUGGCGCACGGGUGCGUAACACGUGGGUAAUCAACCCUCUUGACUGGGACAACUCGGGGAAACUCGAGCUAAUACCGGAUGUCGCGUUCGGGUCUUCGGGCCUGAACGUAAAAGGAGCAAUCCGCAAGAGGACGAGCUCGCGGCCCAUCAGCUAGUUGGAGAGGUAAUGGCUCACCAAGGCGAAGACGGGUAGCUGGUCUGAGAGGAUGAUCAGCCACACUGGAACUGAGACACGGUCCAGACUCCUACGGGAGGCAGCAGUGGGGAAUAUUGCACAAUGGGGGAAACCCUGAUGCAGCCAUGCCGCGUGUGUGAAGAAGGCCUUCGGGUUGUAAAGCACUUUCAGUUGUGAGGAAAGGUUAACGGUUAAUACCCGUUAGCUGUGACGUUAGCAACAGAAGAAGGACCGGCUAACUCCGUGCCAGCAGCCGCGGUAAUACGGAGGGUCCGAGCGUUAUCCGGAAUCAUUGGGUUUAAAGGGUCCGCAGGCGGCCAGAUAAGUCAGUGGUGAAAUUCCGUGGCUCAACCACGGAACUGCCAUUGAUACUGUUUGGCUUGAAUCAGUUCGAGGAUGCCGGAAUGUGUGGUGUAGCGGUGAAAUGCAUAGAUAUCACACAGAACACCAAUUGCGAAGGCAGGUGUCCAGAACUGUAUUGACGCUGAUGGACGAAAGCGUGGGUAGCGAACAGGAUUAGAUACCCUGGUAGUCCACGCCGUAAACGAUGGAUACUAGCUGUCCGGGCGCAAGCCUGGGCGGCCAAGCGAAAGUGAUAAGUAUCCCACCUGGGGAGUACGU
rnacentral:rRNA from 1 species